AUUGAACGCUGGCGGCAGGCCUAACACAUGCAAGUCGAACGGUAACAGGAAACAGCUUGCUGUUUCGCUGAUGAGUGGCGGACGGGUGAGUAAUGUCUGGGAAACUGCCUGAUGGAGGGGGAUAACUACUGGAAACGGUAGCUAAUACCGCAUAACGUCGCAAGACCAAAGAGGGGGACCUUCGGGCCUCUUGCCAUCGGAUGUGCCCAGAUGGGAUUAGCUAGUAGGUGGGGUAACGGCUCACCUAGGCGACGAUCCCUAGCUGGUCUGAGAGGAUGACCAGCCACACUGGAACUGAGACACGGUCCAGACUCCUACGGGAGGCAGCAGUGGGGAAUAUUGCACAAUGGGCGCAAGCCUGAUGCAGCCAUGCCGCGUGUAUGAAGAAGGCCUUCGGGUUGUAAAGUACUUUCAGCGGGGAGGAAGGGAGUAAAGUUAAUACCUUUACUCAUUGACGUUACCCGCAGAAGAAGCACCGGCUAACUCCGUG
rnacentral:rRNA from 1 species